rnacentral:rRNA from 1 species
AUGCGCACACUCGCGGACGCAGGCGAACGGCUCCGGCAGGAGACGUGGCGCAUGACGGCGACGGCGGCUCUCCUCAGGAGGAUCUUGGGCGUUGAGAGGUUGAGCUAUGCGCUGCACCAAGGACAGAGCCCACCGACUGCUUGUCAUGGGCCACCGCCACCACGCCUUCGACGGGAUUGGACCUCCACCACUCCAGCAAGCAGGAGCAUCGUGGUGGUUGCGGUUUGUACUGUUAAUUAA